CCUACGGGGGGCAGCAGUCGAGAAUCAUUCACAAUGGGGGAAACCCUGAUGGUGCGACGCCGCGUGGGGGAGUGAAGGUCUUCGGAUUGUAAACCCCUUUCAUGUGGGAGCAAAUUAAAAAGAUAGUACCACAAGAGGAAGAGACGGCUAACGCUGUGCCAGCAGCCGCGGUAAUACAGAGGUCUCAAGCGUUGUUCGGAAUCACUGGGCGUAAAGCGUGCGUAGGCUGUUUCGUCAGUCCUGUGUGAAAGGCGCGGGCUCAACCCGCGGACGGCACAUGAUACUGCGAGACUAGAGUAGUGGAGGGGGAACCGGAAUGCUCGGUGUAGCAGUGAAAUGCGUAGAUAUCGAGAGGAACACUCGUGGCGAAGGCGGGUUCCCGGACAUUAACUGACGCUGAGGCACGAAGGCCAGGGGAGCGAAAGGGAUUAGAUACCCUAGUAGUC
rnacentral:rRNA from 1 species